CCUACGGGAGGCAGCAGUGGGGAAUUUUGGACAAUGGGCGAAAGCCUGAUCCAGCCAUGCCGCGUGAGUGAAGAAGGCCUUCGGGUUGUAAAGCUCUUUUAGUCGUAAAGAAAGAGUUGCAAUGAAUAAUUGUGAUUUAUGACGGUACCGACAGAAAAAGCACCGGCCUAACCACGUGCCAGCAGCCGCGGUAAUACGUAGGGUGCGAGCGUUAAUCGGAAUUACUGGGCGUAAAGGGUGCGCAGGCGGUCUUGCAAGUCAGAUGUGAAAGCCCCGGGCUUGACCUGGGAGUUGCGUUUGAAACUACAAGGCUAGAGUGCAGCAGAGGGGAGUGGAAUUCCAUGUGUAGCAGUGAAAUGCGUAGAGAUGUGGAAGAACACCGAUGGCGAAGGCAGUUCCCUGGGUCGACACUGACGCUCAUGCACGAAAGCGUGGGGAGCAAACAGGAUUAGAUACCCUGGUAGUCCACGCCCUAAACGAUGUCAACUAGUUGUCGGAUCUAAUUAAGGAUUUGGUAACGUAGCUAACGCGUGAAGUUGACCGCCUGGGGAGUACGGUCGCAAGAUUAAAACUCAAAGGAA
rnacentral:rRNA from 1 species